ensembl:lncRNA
AUGUCAAAAGCAGGACGCAUAGACAUGCUGACGAUCAUGGCCAUGCGCUGGAACCAACAAAAGUUUGACAACUUGGCUUCUACCCUUGCCCGCCGAUAUCGGAAGGCCACAAUAGCCCUGCAAUGCCAGUUGCAUAACCUGGAGGCCAUGAAAACGGAAAUGGACGUCUCAGACAAUCAACUGGAGAGGUGGAUCACUGAUAUCAAUGAGUGGGCAGAAGCAACAACAUCCCCAAAUGAUGCUGAUGUUGCCGCUGUUGCCAGCCGAAUUGAGGAGCUGGUGGCAAGUGUUAAGAGGAGGUCCCAGCGUCUUUACAAGGAUAGUGACGGAUGCAAAGGACGUGCCCGAAUCCGCCGAAAGAUCAGGGAGGAAAAAAAAAUCUUAAAUUCUGUAGUGGAAAAGUAUAACACCUUGGUUCCUAAUGCAGAAAAACUGACAUUGGACACCAUUCUAUCUGAUGAGAUUGUUUGGCGAUGGCAGCUUACACACGGUGGUAUGUACACAAUUCCAUUGUCACAUAGUGGGACAAAAUCUGUCAUGUCUCGAUUUUAACCCCUGAAAAUCUCUAAAUACUAAUCUCAAAUACAACUGACUUAUGUUUCAUCUAUGUAUUCCAGACUCUGUAGAUCUAAGGACAAAGAGGAAGGCGUUCGACAUUGUGAUGGCAGUAAGGAGACUUGAGGAGGAGAAGAGGAUUCUUAUUGCAGAGAUGAACAAGCAUUGGAAGUCUCUUUGCUCCCGUGCAGACACCCUGAAGCAGAUGUCAUCCCAGCUUUCUAAUGUGACAUCAGGUAUGUAUGUUAUACUUGGCAUACAUUACAAUAUUUCUGAAUUUUUCUAAUUAAUAAAGGCUCAAUAUGUUUUAACAUGUAAGGUGAGACGUGGGGCCUGCUUCAAGAUGGUAUCCGAGGUCUACAGAGCUUGACGAUGAAGAACAAGCAAGCAAGCAACAGCCUGGCAAAGCAUGCAAAGAAAUAUUAUGUUCAAGUUCUGACUGAAACAGAAAUUAACUUUGAUAGUGAUUCUGAGGAAUACCAUACCAAUAGUGACUCUGAGCAAGAUUAAACAUGGCCAGAGUCCUUUUUUAUGCUGUUGUGUGCUGGGGAGGCAGCAUUAAGAAGAGGGCCGCUGGGACAGGUUGGUAAGGAAAGCUGGCUCUGUGUUUGGCAUGGAGCUGGAGUUAAUCAUUUAACAAACUGAGGAUAAUUUGCAGUAGCAGUCUUCUGUCAUGCUCAACAUUGAGGAGGUCCUUUGUCCCCAGGGCAUACCAGCAACUCAAUGUCACAGAAAAGGUUAGGGGAGAAAUGGACUUUUCAGCAUGAGUCUCACCCUGCGCCAACCAUUACAUCGCUUUGUCUAUUGUCUAGUAUCCACUAUCCAUUUGACUGUCUUACAGGCUACAUUAGCCCCUCUACACAUUCUGGACUGUGGUUUCAACAUUUACCCCUGUUGGCUUGUAUAAUCUUUUCUCUUUUUAUAUAUAUAUAUAUUUAAGUUUCUGUUUUUCUAUCUAUUUUAACUUCCUUGUAUUGUUUUUGUUAAGCAAUACUAUUAUGCUCAGACUCUUUUUUCCAUAGUCAUAUUAAACAUGCACAGCUUUGCACUGAUUAAAUCCCUGCACUGUUUACUUUUGCACUACCACCACUGCAAAUCACUCUAUAGCUGCCCAUCAUGUAUCACAGGGUCAGUCCCUACCAGGCCUUUGUAAUCACUUGACAUGCUCUUCACUUUUUACAUUUGUGAUUUUUGUUAUGUGUCUGAGCUGUGUGUUGUUUUUGUGGUUGUAUAAGCUAAUAAAUGCCUAAAAUGUGGUGUGUCGUCUUAAGUAGCCUACAGUGUCUGUACUAGGGGGAAGAAGACAUUUCAUCAUGACAGUUUCCUCCAUCUCCUAGAGACAUCUUACAUGGAUACACAGAUAACAUUUAUUCACGAGAUCAU